UCGAGGGGCAGCACGAUGUAGCAAUACAUUGGUGGCGACCGGCGCACGGGUGAGUAACGCGUAUGCAACCUACCUAUCAGAGGGGAAUAACCCGGCGAAAGUCGGACUAAUACCGCAUAAAACAGGGGUUCCACAUGGAAAUAUUUGUUAAAGAAUUAUCGCUGAUAGAUGGGCAUGCGUUCCAUUAGAUAGUUGGUGAGGUAACGGCUCACCAAGUCCACGAUGGAUAGGGGUUCUGAGAGGAAGGUCCCCCACACUGGUACUGAGACACGGACCAGACUCCUACGGGAGGCAGCAGUGAGGAAUAUUGGUCAAUGGGCGAGAGCCUGAACCAGCCAAGUCGCGUGAAGGAUGAAGGAUCUAUGGUUUGUAAACUUCUUUUAUAUGGGAAUAAAGUGAGGAACGUGUUCCUUUUUGUAUGUACCAUAUGAAUAAGCAUCGGCUAACUCCGUGCCAGCAGCCGCGGUAAUACGGAGGAUGCGAGCGUUAUCCGGAUUUAUUGGGUUUAAAGGGUGCGUAGGUGGUUAAUUAAGUCAGCGGUGAAAGUUUGUGGCUCAACCAUAAAAUUGCCGUUGAAACUGGUUGACUUGAGUAUAUUUGAGGUAGGCGGAAUGCGUGGUGUAGCGGUGAAAUGCAUAGAUAUCACGCAGAACUCCGAUUGCGAAGGCAGCUUACUAAACUAUAACUGACACUGAAGCACGAAAGCGUGGGGAUCAAACAGGAUUAGAUACCCUGGUAGUCCACGCAGUAAACGAUGAUUACUAGCUGUUUGCGAUACACAGUAAGCGGCACAGCGAAAGCGUUAAGUAAUCC
rnacentral:rRNA from 1 species